rnacentral:rRNA from 1 species
GACGGGGGAUGCAAGCGUUGUCCGGAAUCACUGGGCGUAAAGCGUCUGUAGGUGGUGAUGCAAGUCACUGAUGCAAAACUCUGGCUCAACCGGAGGAAAGCCAGUGAAACUGCAUGACUAGAGUGUGGGAGAGGUAGAAGGAAUUCCCUGAGUAGCGGUGAAAUGCGUAGAUACAGGGAAGAACACCGGAUGCGAAAGCGGGCUACUGGAGCACAACUGACAAUGAGAGACGAAAGCUAGGGGAGCGAAUGGG